rnacentral:rRNA from 1 species
CCUACGGGACGCAGCAGCCGCGGUAAUACGGAGGGUGCAAGCGUUACUCGGAAUCACUGGGCGUAAAGAGCGCGUAGGCGGGAUAGCAAGUCAGAUGUGAAACCCUAUGGCUUAACCAUAGAACUGCAUUUGAAACUGUUAUUCUAGAGUAUGGGAGAGGUAGGUGGAAUUCUUGGUGUAGGGGUAAAAUCCGUAGAGAUCAAGAGGAAUACUCAUUGCGAAGGCGACCUGCUAGAACAUAACUGACGCUGAUGCGCGAAAGCGUGGGGAGCAAACAGGAUUAGAAACCUCAGUAGUCCGCCAAG